CGUACACUCCUGCGGGAGGCAGCAGUGGGGAAUAUUGCACAAUGGGCGCAAGCCUGAUGCAGCCAUGCCGCGUGUAUGAAGAAGGCCUUCGGGUUGUAAAGUACUUUCAGCGGGGAGGAAGGCGAUAAGGUUAAUAACCUUGUUGAUUGACGUUACCCGCAGAAGAAGCACCGGCUAACUCCGUGCCAGCAGCCGCGGUAAUACGGAGGGUGCAAGCGUUAAUCGGAAUUACUGGGCGUAAAGCGCACGCAGGCGGUCUGUCAAGUCGGAUGUGAAAUCCCCGGGCUCAACCUGGGAACUGCAUUCGAAACUGGCAGGCUAGAGUCUUGUAGAGGGGGGUAGAAUUCCAGGUGUAGCGGUGAAAUGCGUAGAGAUCUGGAGGAAUACCGGUGGCGAAGGCGGCCCCCUGGACAAAGACUGACGCUCAGGUGCGAAAGCGUGGGGAGCAAACAGGAUUAGAUACCCCAGUAGUCCCAUGAU
rnacentral:rRNA from 1 species